GACGAACGCUGGCGGCGUGCCUAAUACAUGCAAGUCGAGCGCAGGAAGCCGUCUGAACCCUUUGGGGGGACGACGGCGGAAUGAGCGGCGGACGGGUGAGUAACACGUAAAGAACCUGCCCAUAGGUCUGGGAUAACCACGAGAAAUCGGGGCUAAUACCGGAUGUGUCAUCGGACCGCAUGGUCCGCUGAUGAAAGGCGCCCCGGCGUCGCCCAUGGAUGGCUUUGCGGUGCAUUAGCUAGUUGGUGGGGUAACGGCCCACCAAGGCGACGAUGCAUAGCCGACCUGAGAGGGUGAUCGGCCACACUGGGACUGAGACACGGCCCAGACUCCUACGGGAGGCAGCAGUAGGGAAUCUUCCACAAUGGACGAAAGUCUGAUGGAGCAACGCCGCGUGAACGAUGAAGGCUUUCGGGUCGUAAAGUUCUGUUGUAAGGGAAGAACAAGUGCCGCAGGCAAUGGCGGCACCUUGACGGUACCUUGCGAGAAAGCCACGGCUAACUACGUGCCAGCCGCCGCCGUAA
rnacentral:rRNA from 1 species